rnacentral:rRNA from 1 species
UACGUAGGGGGGCUAGCGUUGUCCGGAUUUAUUGGGCGUAAAGCGCACGCAGGCGGUCUGCCAAGUUCGGAGUGACAGUUUCCGGCUUAACCGGAAAAGGUCUUCGAAAACUGGUGGACUUGAGGACUUGAGGGGGAGACGGAAUUCCGGGUGGAGCGGAUGAAAUGCGUAGAGAUCCGGAGGAACACCGGAAGGCGAAGGCAGUCUGCCUGGCAAGUUACUGACAGCUCAGGUGCCGAAAGCUAGGGGAGCGAACAGGAUUGAGACUACCCCCUGGUAGUC